AACAUCGGUCCAAUCCUUAAAGUCAUCCUCAGUUCGGACUGGGGUCUGCAACCCGACCCCNCGAAGCUGGAUUCGCUAGUAAUCGCGCAUCAGCCAUGGCGCGGUGAAUACGUUCCCGGGCCUUGUACACACCGCCCGUCAAGCCAUGAAAGCCGGGGGCGCCUGAAGUCCGUGACCGCGAGGGUCGGCCUAGGGUGAAACCGGUGAUUGGGGCUAAGUCGUAACAAGGUAUC
rnacentral:rRNA from 1 species